UGGGGAAUAUUGCACAAUGGGCGCAAGCCUGAUGCAUCCAUGCCGCGUGUAUGAAGAAGGCCUUCGGGUUGUAAAGUACUUUCAGCGGGGAGGAAGGGAGUAAAGUUAAUACCUUUGCUCAUUGACGUUACCCGCAGAAGCAGCACCGGCUAACUCCGUGCCAGCAGCCGCGGUAAUACGGAGGUUGCAAGCGUUCAUCGGAAUUACUGGGCGUAAAGCGCACGCAGGCGGUUUGUUAAGUCAGAUGUGAAAUCCCCGGGCUCAACCUGGGAACUGCAUCUGAUACUGGAAAGCUUGAGUAUCGUAGAGGGGGGUAGAAUUCCAGGUGUAGCGGGGAAAUGCGUAGAGAUAUGGAAGAAUACCGGUGGCGAAGGCGGCCCCCUGGACGAAGACUGACGCUCAGGUGCGAAAGCGUGGGGAGCAAACA
rnacentral:rRNA from 1 species